GACGUAGGAGGCGAGCGUUGUCCGGAUUCAUUGGGCGUAAAGAGCGCGCAGGCGGCUUGGUAAGUCGGAUGUGAAAUCCCGAGGCUCAACCUCGGGUCUGCAUCCGAUACUGCCCGGCUAGAGGUAGGUAGGGGAGAUCGGAAUUCCUGGUGUAGCGGUGAAAUGCGCAGAUAUCAGGAGGAACACCGGUGGCGAAGGCGGCACGCUGGACACCUUCUGACGCUGAGGCGCGAAAGCCAGGGGAGCAAACGGG
rnacentral:rRNA from 1 species